rnacentral:rRNA from 1 species
UACGUAGGGGGCUAGCGUUGUCCGGAAUCAUUGGGCGUAAAGAGCGUGUAGGCGGCCCGGUAAGUCCGCUGUGAAAGUCGGGGGCUCAACCCUCGAAUGCCGGUGGAUACUGUCGGGCUAGAGUGCGGAAGAGGCGAGUGGAAUUCCUGGUGUAGCGGUGAAAUGCGCAGAUAUCAGGAGGAACACCGACGGCGUAGGCAGCGCCCUGGCUGUGAAUAAAGCUGACACUGAGGCACGAAAGCUGGGGGAGCAAACAGG